rnacentral:rRNA from 1 species
UACGUAGGGUGCAAGCGUUGUCCGGAAUUAUUGGGCGUAAAGAGCUCGUAGGCGGUUUGUCGCGUCUGCUGUGAAAGCCCGGGGCUUAACCCCGGGUCUGCAUUCGAUACGGGCAGGCUAGAGUGUGGUAGGGGAGAUCGGAAUUCCUGGUGUAGCGGUGAAAUGCGCAGAUAUCAGGAGGAACACCGGUGGCGAAGGCGGAUCUCUGGGCCAUUACUGACGCUGAGGAGCGAAAGCGUGGGGAGCGAACAGG